AACGCACGAGACCUGCGGACCUGCGGAGGGAUCAUUACCGAGUUAUCCAACUCCCAACCCCUGUGAAUUAUACCUUUAAUUGUUGCUUCGGCGGGACUUCGCGCCCGCCGGGGACCCAAACCUUCUGAAUUUUUUAAUAAGUAUCUUCUGGGUGGUUAAAAAAAUGAAUCAAAACUUUCAGCAACGGAUCUCU
rnacentral:misc_RNA from 1 species